CACGAAGCUCCUGUAUUCCCGUUUGCCCCAAUACGUAUUCGUUCCUCCUCUUUCGCCUUCCCUGCCGACAAUCGACCGUGGGGAGCGGAGGCAUCGAGUGGAUCUGCUACCGCCCCGUGCCGUCGUCGCGGCCUCCAGCGGGAGGUCCGCCGGCGUGAAAGGAGGAGUGCGGCAAGCCCGAGUUCGGCUGAAGCUUCUGUCGCAGCUAUGGCGCCGCGCCCGUCCCGGAUUGCGGCUUCUCCCGUCGCAAGACCGGCUCCCCAUCUUGAUUCGUCCUCGCGCCAAAGGCCAUGUCUUGGAGUUGCCGGCAGCCAUGGUGGAGCUCGGGUCGGGAUAGUGGAGGUAGUGGUGGUGGCUGUUGUGCAGAGGCCGCGGCGAGCGACGAGGGCGGCCGCCAUCCAGCGGGUCUUCGGGGCCCCGACACCAUUCACGCAGCUGCCGACCUCGCCUGCUGCGCGCCAUGGAUGAGACCACAGUUCAACUAAGUGAACAAACUACUCCUUAGAUCGAUGCAUGCAAAGUCAUAUGGUUGGAUUGAUCCUCAUCCAGGUGACAAUGGCGCUCCAUUACCAUGGUCAUCGACUACUGGUCUGUUUGUCAGCUUGGGAGUACUUUGUGAGGCCUUGAAGUCACACUUGACCUCUACAAAUCUUUUAUCCGCAACUAGGCGCUCAAAAUGCUGGAAAAAACAGAGGAAAUGGUGCAACUAGUUCAACAAGAAGGACAAGAAUAAUGAAAAGAGGAGAUAAAGAAGAAUACGAGUCAGAUUUCUUACUUUUGGUCCUGAAGAUCCAUUGCCGUGUUCAUGGUUCUCAUGACCACUGCUUGAAGAAGCCAUAGAGGACAAUGAUUUCCUUACUUUAAACCUCGGAUCGCUUGAUAUUUGCAGACUUUGCUAUCUGCCUGAAUUUGGUUUGUGGAUGCAAUCAGGCUCCAGAUUGAAAUCUCUUCCGCCUGGUAUUUA